ensembl:snoRNA SNORD114-31 small nucleolar RNA, C/D box 114-31
UGAGCCGGUGAUGACAGCUGGUGGCGUGUGAGUCAUGGAUGGUGAGUACUAAGUGCCUGGAACUCUGAGGUUCAA